rnacentral:lncRNA from 1 species
UAUAAACAUAAUCUUUAAUGACGACGAUGAGUCUUUUCUUGCUCAGUAAGAGGUUUGAAAUGUACUGCAUCAAUUUGAAUAUCCUCUACUUCCGAAUGUAUGUAUUGAAGAGGUGUUGGUGUUGCCAUUGAAUUAUAAUAAUGUUGAGGUCCACUUAUACGGUUCUCAUAUCGAAAUUCAAAAAGGCAAUUGUUGCACUUCAUAGCAAAGUCAAUUGCUUGACUCAAUGUUUGAGGAUCAGGUAAAUUGAGCAUUAAUUUUUUUACCUCAUAUUGUAAUCCGUAGAGAAAUUGGCUAAUAAGUACAGCAUUCUCC